CAAUAGAAAGAUUCGCAGAAAUAGGCGCGUAUUGCGACCAUUCUCACAUAUACACCAUUCUGAAAUUUCCACUCAUAUCAAUACCGAAAUAUGAAAUUCAGAAUGUAAUUCCUCUACCUAUCCCAGAUCCAAAUAACAGGUUUGUUCUUUCCACCUGAACUUCUGGCACUAGUUCAAAAAGUGUACACUAAAGCGUUCUUUUUAGCAGAAAUGACGUCAGUAGUCACUGUUCUUUUCAAUAGUGCAGCAGAACUUAGUGCAAGAGUUCUCUGAACUGCUUGCCCUAGGUCUGGAGGUAGUGCACAGCGUGCAAAGCAGUACGAAGCAGUACAAUACGAGGUAUAUUUCAAGUUUAUUCGUAUUAAAAAAAAUUUACGAAUAUGGAAAAAGGAAUAAAUUCAUAUAUUAAAAGAGAUGCAAGUGGAAAUAUUUUAGUAGACAUUAAUGGAAAUGUUACGUGUGAAUCUAAAGGUAUUAAAAUUAUUUAAAUAUAUAAAUUAUGAACAGAUAUUGUUUAUAAGGUGUACAAUUUCUAUUAAAAUAUAAGGAAAUAGAUUUUACUUGCGAUACAUUGCAAUGUACUGUUGAUGACCAAUUAAUAUUUAUUAAAUUACAUGAAAACAUAAAAUCAACAAAUGAUACCAAUGAUCAACAAAAUGAUGAAAAUUAUGGUCAUGAGAACAUUAAUGAUUAUAAUGAAAAUUAUAUUAAUGAAAAUAAUACUAAUGAAGAAAACAAUGGUAAUAAAAUAAAUGAAGAUAAAAGAGAAACAUUUUUUUGGAACGAUGCAACGACAAAAUUGUUCUUGCAAUUAUACAAAGAAAAAAGUGAUUUAUUGGUAAAUAGAAAAAUUAGAACCAAGAAAAUGUUAUGGCAAAAAAUAACCGAAAGUAUGCAAAGAUAUGGAUAUAAUAUUACACUUAUACAAGUAGAAAACAAGUAUAAAUCUUUAGAAAGAAGUUACAAAAAUAUGAUUUUAAAUAAUAAUAAAACAGGCAGAGCUCGCAUAUCAUGUCCAUAUGAAACGCAGUUAACUGAACUUAUGGGUUAUAGGCACAACAUCCGUCCAUUGGCAGUAUCUGGAAAGCAAGGCUUACUUUUACGAGAUGAUGUCCAAAUUAACAAAUCUUUGUAAGUUUUAUAUCAGAUUCAAAAAUAGAAAGUAUUAAUUAUUUGGUAGUAAUAUAAUAAUUUCUAUACGUCUAAAUGAAAUAUAUAAAUAUAUAAUAAAUAUAUAAUUAGUAAAAUAUUUAGAUAACGUAACUGUUUUAUUCAUUAUACACAUACUACAGAACUACAGAAAAUCAAAUUGAUGUCAAUUUGGAAACCGAACCAACAACAUCAAACACUAUAUCGGAAAAUGUCGAACUUCCGCCAAGGGAAUCCUCUUCUCGAGAAGAAAUCUCGAAUAUAACUAUAAAUAACAUUGAAAAUAACUCUUUAAAUCAAUUGCAGACAGUAUCACAUAAUAGGCAAAGAAAAGAAAUAAGUAAUACGACAAGACCUUCAAAAAUGUGGCACAAAACAAUGGAACAACUUUUAAAUAAUAUUCAGGAAGAAAAGGCUAAAAAAAUGAAGUACAACAACAGUUAAUACCGGAAUAUAAAGAGAUGAGAAAUACUUAUAAAGAAUCAAUGAAAAAAAUAGAGGAACAACUAAUGAAGGCAAAUCAAUUAAGAGAAGAAAGAAAUCGAUUAUUAAAAGAAAUUUUUCUUGAAAAUAAACAAGAAAAUCAGUUAUAAAAUUGCAAAAGUUAAAAAUGUUAGAUGCAGAGGUACAAUUUAUAUUACAGUAUAAAAUUAUAAAUGUACAAGUUACAGAUGCAUAGUU